rnacentral:rRNA from 1 species
GCGUACAAUCAUAUUAGUGCUGUUGCACCUGACCCAUCAAAGCUCUGGAGCUGACUACUCUUGGAGUUGAGUAGUGCUUGGACGGGUGACCUCAUAUGAAGUCCUCAUAUUGCAUCCA